rnacentral:rRNA from 1 species
GACGAACGCUGGCGGCGUGCUUAACACAUGCAAGUCGAACGGGAGCCUUUAUUUCGGUAAAGGCGAGAGUGGCAAACGGGUGAGUAACACGUAGGCAACCUGCCGACAGGAUGGGGACAACAUUCCGAAAGGAAUGCUAAUACCGAAUGAAGUCACCGGAGGGCAUCCUCUGGUGAUGAAAGAUGGCCUCUGAAUAUGCUAUCACCUGUCGAUGGGCCUGCGUCUGAUUAGCCAGUUGGCGGGGUAACGGCCCACCAAAGCGACGAUCAGUAGCCGGUCUGAGAGGAUGAACGGCCACAUUGGGACUGAGACACGGCCCAGACUCCUACGGGAGGCAGCAGUGGGGAAUCUUCCACAAUGGGCGAAAGCCUGAUGGAGCAACGCCGCGUGAGUGAAGAAGGUCUUCGGAUCGUAAAGCUCUGUUGCACGGGACGAAAACCGA